rnacentral:rRNA from 1 species
UACGUAGGGUGCAAGCGUUAAUCGGAAUUACUGGGCGUAAAGCGUGCGCAGGCGGUUGUGCAAGACCGAUGUGAAAUCCCCGGGCUUAACCUGGGAAUGGCAUUGGUGACUGCACGGCUAGAGUGUGUCAGAGGGGGGUAGAAUUCCACGUGUAGCAGUGAAAUGCGUAGAGAUGUGGAGGAAUACCGAUGGCGAAGGCAGCCCCCUGGGAUAACACUCACGCUCAUGCACGAAAGCGUGGGGAGCAAACAGG